AUGUAGCAUCAUCAAGAUUCAUACAUGAAAAUUAAGAGGCAAGGUUAAAUAUGUAGCUUUAAUUUGAAAUGAAAAAUAUAAUAUAUCAUGACCAUGUCUAUUUAUUUCAAAGUGAGAAUCUUGAUGAUGCUGCAU